GCCACCUUCCGCGCUCCUCCUCUUCACUCUAGGGUUCCAAGAUGAAAUUUGGGAGCAUAAACUGACCCUGGAGGAAGAAGAGCAUCUCCCGUGUCCUGAGGCCCUCUGUCCCAGAGAAGGUGAUUCAGGGCUGAAGCCAGUUAGAGCAGGCAGGAGGGCUGGCCUGGCCAGUCCCUGUCCCAAACAGGCCUGGUGGCCAGAGGCAAAGUUACUUCACCUUUCUGAAGAUCCCUUUGUCCAGUUAAAAGCUGGCCAGGUGUGACCUUUGGCCUCAAGGGAAAAGUGAGAAGGCUGCAGGCACCCAGAGAGGACAGGCUCCAACCCGCCCCAGGAGUGAUGCCUGAGACCAAGGGGAAAGAUGGACAGUGGAUAUUCUGGGCGAGGCAGAGAGCACCACACAGCCCUAGGGUUCCUGUGCUGGUGUGCACUGCAGCUCCAGCUUCGCAGAAUUGCCAAGGAGACCGUGAGCAACCCCACACAGGAUGGUCUCAUCCCGGCUUACACCCCACAGUGCACAUGCAGAGCACAUAUAUGAAGAAUGAAUACACGAAGCCACCAGGUGACCCUGACUCAUCACAUCACUCUGUUCUUUGGGCCUCAGUUUCCUCACCUAUCAAAUGGGCAUGAUAACUUUUACUCCGUCUACUUCCCAAGGUCGUAAGAGUUAAAUAAGAACCUUUGUGCAAGUAUUUUAGUAACUGCAAAGCUGGCCUGCCUUCCUGGCCUUGGUUUGCCUUCUGUAAAAUGAGGGUCCCUCCCAGCUUUGCUAUUCUGAAACUUUAGCUAGAGAUGGGGAUGCUCCUUAAAUACCCGCUGGGCAUUCAGGGGAAGGCAGAGGAUGCAGUGUCCAGAAAUAGAGCCCUGUCCAGGGCUAGGAAGGCCACUGUUGUAGUUCCAGAGUGACCCCUGAUUCACUAUAUGAUCUCUGGGCCUCAGUUUUCUUCUCUGUAAAUUGGGAGUGGCUGGACAUAGAAUGUCUGAAAUGACCUCUAGGAUUCUGUGAUGACAGGACAUUAUCCAGAGGGCAGCAGGAAACCACUGAUGGGCUUUGAGCAGGAGAGUAACAUGAUCCCAGUUGUGUUUCAGAGCACUUGCUCUGGCAGUGGGGUGGUUUGUGGGCAGAAGGGCAGGGAGGCCAGAGUCUGGAGCCUGGAAAAGGGCUGUGGCCUUUGCUCAGGCAACAGAAGACG
rnacentral:lncRNA from 12 species